CCUAGGGAGGCUGCAGUGGGGAAUAUUGGACAAUGGGGGCAACCCUGAUCCAGCCAUGCCGCGUGUGUGAAGAAGGCCCUCGGGUUGUAAAGCACUUUCAGUGAGGAAGAACGCCUGGUGGUUAAUACCCAUCAGGAAAGACAUCACUCACAGAAGAAGCACCGGCUAACUCCGUGCCAGCAGCCGCGGUAAUACGGAGGGUGCGAGCGUUAAUCGGAAUUACUGGGCGUAAAGCGCGCGUAGGUGGCUUGAUAAGCCGGUUGUGAAAGCCCCGGGCUCAACCUGGGAACGGCAUCCGGAACUGUCAAGCUAGAGUGCAGGAGAGGAAGGUAGAAUUCCCGGUGUAGCGGUGAAAUGCGUAGAGAUCGGGAGGAAUACCAGUGGCGAAGGCGGCCUUCUGGACUGACACUGACACUGAGGUGCGAAAGCGUGGGUAGCAAACAGGAUUAGAUACCCUGGUAGUC
rnacentral:rRNA from 1 species